rnacentral:rRNA from 1 species
GAGUAACGCGUAGGUAAUCUACCCUAAUAUUUGGGAUAACAUUGGGAAACUGGUGCUAGUACCAGAUACCCUUCUUUUCUGUCGGGUUAAGGAGGAAAGGUGGCCUCUUCAUGAAAGCUACCGUAUAAGGAUGAGCCUGCGUACCAUUAGCUAGUAGGUGGGGUAAUGGCCCACCUAGGCAACGAUGGUUAGCGGGUCUGAGAGGAUGAUCCGCCACACUGGAACUGGAACACGGACCAG